CCUACGGGCGGCAGCAGUGGGGAAUAUUGGACAAUGGGGGCAACCCUGAUCCAGCCAUGCCGCGUGUGUGAAGAAGGCCCUCGGGUUGUAGAGCACUUUCAGUGAGGAAGAACGCCUGGUGGUUAAUACCCAUCAGGAAAGACAUCACUCACAGAAGAAGCACCGGCUAACUCCGUGCCAGCAGCCGCGGUAAUACGGAGGGUGCGAGCGUUAAUCGGAAUUACUGGGCGUAAAGCGCGCGUAGGUGGCUUGAUAAGCCGGUUGUGAAAGCCCCGGGCUCAACCUGGGAACGGCAUCCGGAACUGUCAAGCUAGAGUGCAGGAGAGGAAGGUAGAAUUCCCGGUGUAGCGGUGAAAUGCGUAGAGAUCGGGAGGAAUACCAGUGGCGAAGGUGGCCUUCUGGACUGACACUGACACUGAGGUGCGAAAGCGUGGGUAGCAAACAGGAUUAGAUACCCGAGUAGUC
rnacentral:rRNA from 1 species